rnacentral:rRNA from 1 species
UACAGAGGAUGCAAGCGUUAUCCGGAAUGAUUGGGCGUAAAGCGUCUGUAGGUGGCUUUUUAAGUCCGCCGUCAAAUCCCAAGGCUCAACUCUGGACAGGCGGUGGAAACUACCAAGCUGGAGUACGGUAGGGGCAGAGGGAAUUUCGUGGUGGAGCGGUGAAAUGCGUAGAGAUCGGAAAGAACACCAACGGCGAAAGCAACUCUGCUGGGCCGACACUGACACUGAGAGACGAAAGCUAGGGGAGCGAAUGGG